rnacentral:rRNA from 1 species
AUUGAACGCUGGCGGAAUGCUUUACACAUGCAAGUCGAACGGCAGCACGGGGGCAACCCUGGUGGCGAGUGACGAACGGGUGAGUAAUACAUCGGAACGUGCCCAGUCGUGGGGGAUAACGUAGCGAAAGUUACGCUAAUACCGCAUACGAUCUACGGAUGAAAGCGGGGGACCGUAAGGCCUCGCGCGAUUGGAGCGGCCGAUGUCAGAUUAGGUAGUUGGUGAGGUAAAGGCUCACCAAGCCGACGAUCUGUAGCUGGUCUGAGAGGACGACCAGCCACAAUGGGACGGAGACACGGCCCAGACUCCUACGGGAGGCAGCAGUGGGGAAUUUUGGACAAUGGGCGCCAGCCUGAUCCAGCCAUUCCGCGUGCAGGACGAAGGCCUGCGGGUUGUAAACUGCUUUUGUACGGAACGAAAAGGCUCUGGUUAAUACCUGGGGCUCAUGACGGUACCGUAAGAAUAAGCACCGGCUAACUACGUGCCAGCAGCCGCAGUAA